rnacentral:tRNA from 1 species
GGUGGGGUUCCCGAGCGGCCAUUGGGCACCUAAAUUAAAAAAUCCGGACACCACUUAGAAGGUUCGAAUCCUUCCCCCACCACCA